CCUACGGGAGGCAGCAGUGAGGAAUAUUGGUCAAUGGACGAGAGUCUGAACCAGCCAAGUAGCGUGAAGGAUGACUGCCCUAUGGGUUGUAAACUUCUUUUAUAUGGGAAUAAAAUGUUCCACGUGUGGGAUUUUGUAUGUACCAUAUGAAUAAGGAUCGGCUAACUCCGUGCCAGCAGCCGCGGUAAUACGGAGGAUCCGAGCGUUAUCCGGAUUUAUUGGGUUUAAAGGGAGCGUAGGUGGAUUGUUAAGUCAGUUGUGAAAGGUUGCGGCUCAACCGUAAAAUUGCAGUUGAAACUGGCAGUCUAGAGUAGAGUAGAGGUGAGCGGAAUUCGUGGUGUAGCGGUGAAAUGCUUAGAUAUCACGAAGAACACCGAUUGCGAAGGCAGUUCACUGGACUGCAACUGACACUGAGGCUCGAAAGUGUGGGUAUCAAACAGGAUUAGAUACCCUUGUAGUC
rnacentral:rRNA from 1 species